rnacentral:rRNA from 1 species
AGAGUUUGAUCCUGGCUCAGGAUGAACGCUAGCGGCAGGCUUAAUACAUGCAAGUCGAACGGGAUUCGGGGUAGCAAUACUUUGAUGAGAGUGGCGCACGGGUGCGUAACGCGUAUGCAACCUACCUUUAACAGGGGAAUAGCCCCGAGAAAUCGGGAUUAAUACUCCGUAACAUUGCGGUGUGGCAUCACACUGCAAUUAAAGAUUUAUCGGUUAAAGAUGGGCAUGCGUGACAUUAGCUAGUUGGUGAGGUAACGGCUCACCAAGGCAACGAUGUCUAGGGGUCCUGAGAGGGUUAUCCCCCACACUGGUACUGAGACACGGACCAGACUCCUACGGGAGGCAGCAGUAAGGAAUAUUGGUCAAUGGGCGCAAGCCUGAACCAGCCAUGCCGCGUGCAGGAAGACGGCCCUAUGGGUUGUAAACUGCUUUUAUCAGGGAAUAAACCCCCGCUCGUGAGCGGGGCUGAAGGUACCUGAAGAAUAAGCAUCGGCUAACUCCGUGCCAGCAGCCGCGGUAAUACGGAGGAUGCAAGCGUUAUCCGGAUUCAUUGGGUUUAAAGGGUGCGCAGGCGGAUUGGUAAGUCAGGGGUGAAAUCCCACAGCUCAACUGUGGAACUGCCUUUGAUACUGUCAGUCUAGAGUAUAGUUGAAGUUGGCGGAAUGUGUCAUGUAGCGGUGAAAUGCUUAGAUAUGACACAGAACACCGAUCGCGAAGGCAGCUACUAAGCUAUAACUGACGCUCAUGC